ACCGCCUUUUUUAUAAACAUUCCCCCCUCCCCCUUCACCAAAUUUUCAUUCCCCCCUUUUACAAAAAUUAUUCAGCCCCCUUAUCUCUCUCUCUUUAUCGACCCUCAUCUCAAUCUCGUCUCUCUCUUACCUCUCACUUUCUCUAUCAAUCUUCCUUCCAUCUUUCCCUCUCUCUCACUAUCUCUGUGUUCCAUCUCGCUCCUCCGACUCUCUCUCCAUCAAUAUCAAACACCCUAACUCACUUUAAUGAUUCCGUUUGAUUUACAAAGAAGACCCAAAUUGUAGUACUAGUUCGAAGAAGACCCGUUGGAUCUACAAAGUAACUUGGAGGAUAUCAAUUGUUUCGAUUGGAUUUCAGAGUUUUGAUGGAGUUAAUUGGGUUUUGUUCUUUGGAUUGGUUCAACUGAGUUUUAGGGUUUCAAUUAGCAAGACGGGUCUCCGUUUCUAUCUUCUUCUUCAUGGAUAGUCUGGAUGGAACACCAGAAGUUAUGCUCGAUCCAAAUGGGCUGAGCAAGGAUGGCACAAUUUCACUUAACAAGUGUGAUGCUAGCGAGGAUGCUAAGUACUUGGCAUAUGGUCUAAGUGGAAGCGAUUAGAUGAACAUCAAAGUUAUGAGAAUUAAAGAUAGGAUAGUUGAGCCAGAUACUUUGUCAUGGGUCAGUAUUGUAUAUCAUGGUUUCAGGUAUCAGCUGGACUCAUGAUAACAAAGAAUUUCCUCCCAAGUAAGUAAAGAAGACAGGUGAUAUCAUGUGCUUUACUUGUGAAUUGAUUUAUUCCUAGCAACAUUGUUGCAAGUGAAAAUCAUAUUUUCAUACAGAUGUGUAAAAAGAUGAUUUGUUAUCCUAUUUAUUUAAAUAUAUACGUGGUCUUCUUAGUGAGGGAAAGGACUUUUAAAUUGAGUAGUGAUUGCCACACUAUAAUCAAUCUACAGAAUACAGAUACAUAUUUUCUUGACAGCAGGGGUGUGUUGAAAUCCAUUACAGAAUGCAGUGGACAGACUAAUCUGGUCAAGUUAGAAAUUGAGCAGACAAAUGAGAAAUAUAUGAACAAAACAAGUGGAUGAGUAGAUCUCGGAACUAUUACGCAACGAAGGAGUUUAAUGAGGUUCGUAUGGAGGCGAUUGAGUUCAUCGAAGACAAGAUGUAGCUUUAGGCUGGUGGCCAAUAUGGAAUGGUAAACGGUAGCCAUGAUUUUGGGAUGAAUAUUAUCACCUAGUCCUUGUUUAAUCUGUCUAAUUUAUUGCUUUACGAUGGAAAUAUUGGAAGUUAGAUACCGGAUAUGUAGUAUGUUGGUUAUGGUUAGAAUUUUUAGUAUCUUGGAUAUAUAUGGAUAUUUAGUAUGUUCGAAAGUUUUCCAACUGGUAUGUUCUAAAGUUUGCCAAUGGAAUAUAUAAUUUACUAAGUUGGUGUUUUUUCCAUAUAA